rnacentral:rRNA from 1 species
AUUGAACGCUGGCGGCAUGCCUUACACAUGCAAGUCGAACGGUAACGCGGGGCAACCUGGCGACGAGUGGCGAACGGGUGAGUAAUGCAUCGGAACGUGCCCAGUAGUGGGGGAUAGCCCGGCGAAAGCCGGAUUAAUACCGCAUACGACCUACGGGUGAAAGGGGGGGAUCGCAAGACCUCUCGCUAUUGGAGCGGCCGAUGUCAGAUUAGGUAGUUGGUGGGGUAAAGGCCUACCAAGCCGACGAUCUGUAGCUGGUCUGAGAGGACGGCCAGCCACACUGGGACUGAGACACGGCCCAGACUCCUACGGGAGGCAGCAGUGGGGAAUUUUGGACAAUGGGCGCAAGCCUGAUCCAGCCAUGCCGCGUGCGGGAAGAAGGCCUUCGGGUUGUAAACCGCUUUUGUCAGGGAAGAAAUCUUCUGAGUUAAUACCCCGGGAGGAUGACGGUACCUGAAGAAUAAGCACCGGCUAACUACGUGCCAGCCGCCGCCGUAAUAC